AUGAACGCUGGCGGCGUGGAUAAGGCAUGCAAGUCGAACGGUUUUCUUUAUUGAAGAAGAUGCGAUUACAUCAAAUUAACAGAUAUUUUGAAAACAGUGGCGAACGAGCUAGUAACACCUUGGUACGUACCCGAAAGUUUGGUAUAGCUCGCCGAAAGGCGGGGUAAUCCCAAAUAGUCCCUUCAUCUAUCGGAUGAUAGGGUAAAGUAGCACUACGCUUUCGGAUCGGCCUAGGUCCGAUCAGUUAGUUGGUGAGGUAAUGGCUCACCAAGACAAUGACCGGUAGGGG
rnacentral:rRNA from 1 species